rnacentral:lncRNA from 1 species
GGCCAGGAUCCGAGAGCCCGGACUGGAGAUUUCUGAGAGAGCAGACACCAUCUUAUUUCUGUUGAAUUAUAUUUAGUAACUCAAAAGGCAUUUACCAAGCUGUCAGAAGCAGCUUCAUUUAAAAGAAAUAAAAUUUCUAGUCCUGCCUGAAGUUUAAGCUAGCCCAUGACUACUCAAGUGCAACUGUAUUUCCCAGAAUUAAAGCAGCAGCCUUGGAUCCAGAGAUGGACGCCAAUUGAUGAAGAUGGCAGGACUGACUGGCCAGUCUGGGUUCCCUGGAGCAGAGCUGUCUCUCCACCCUAGGUUAUCUACUUACUUUUGUACUGUUAUGUGAGAGAGAAAUAAACUUCUAUCUUCUUUAA